rnacentral:rRNA from 1 species
GACGAACGCUGGCGGCGUGCUUAACACAUGCAAGUCGAACGGAAAGGCCCUGCUUUUGUGGGGUGCUCGAGUGGCGAACGGGUGAGUAACACGUGAGUAACCUGCCCUUGACUUUGGGAUAACUUCAGGAAACUGGGGCUAAUACCGGAUAGGAGCUCCUGCUGCAUGGUGGGGGUUGGAAAGUUUCGGCGGUUGGGGAUGGACUCGCGGCUUAUCAGCUUGUUGGUGGGGUAGUGGCUUACCAAGGCUUUGACGGGUAGCCGGCCUGAGAGGGUGACCGGCCACAUUGGGACUGAGAUACGGCCCAGACGCCUACGGGAGGCAGCAGUGGGGAAUAUUGCACAAUGGGAGGAAGCCUGAUGCAGCAACGCCGCGGGCGGGAUGACGGCCUUCGGGUUGUAAACCGCUUUCGCCUGUGACGAAGCGGGAGUGACGGUAAUGGGUAAAGAAGCACCGGCUAACUACGUG